rnacentral:lncRNA from 1 species
AGAUACCUAGAGAGGUCUAAAAAUAUAUUUUAAUUAUCUGAAAAAUAAUUAACAUAUCUAAGAAGAUUUGAUGUGAAGGAUCCAUAGAGUUAGGAUUACGACAAAUAUACUGAGGAGUCAUCCUCUCUAGAGACCGUAUCUCACUGCAACUUCUCAAAUAAACCCAAUAGUUGCCAUGACCCACAACCUCUCACAUGGGUUCAUGAUUGGACUAUCAAAUUCAGCCAACAAAGUGAUUAUGGCUUCCAAGCGUGGCUUUCCUUGGGCCUAUUGUUUCCAAAGAUGGGAUAACAGUUGAUCCUUGCAAGAUUGAGGUUGUGCUUAAAUGGGAGAGACCAAUGAAUGUAUCUGAAGUUUGCAGAUUCCUAGGACUGGCGGGGCAUUACAAGUGUUUCGUAGAGGAAUUCUUGAAGAUAACACUUCCCCUAACCCGCCUAACCCAAAAGGAAAUCAAGUUUACGUGGUUUGAUAAACUGCAAGAGAAGUUUUCAAGAUAUCCCGCUAGGCUUGCAGGGCCUCACCUUGUUUCGCAGCUGCUCAAGUGAUUUUGAAACUUUUGGUUCAUGAAUUAAUGUAACAAAUUUUAUAGUGAUGAUGGAGGAUUGGGGUAAGUACUAGUCUCCUUGCGCUACCUGUGAAAUGAAGAUGAGCUGCAGUUAAUAUUUAGUGUUUAAACUGAAUGGAUACCUUGUAUGCUUCAAUAUUCUAAUGCACUAACCCUGGUAUUGCUGGACCAAACCAUGUGAAGUUAUGAACAUUUGUUGCCAUGGGAUGUGUAGGGUUAUAUGCAUGCUCAUGAGUGUGGCUUGCUGCUGGACGUCAAUAUGUAUUAGAAGGCUUAUCAUCUUAGACAAGGGAGUCUAAAGUGAAAAUAGUCAAGUCUUUUGGAAGAAGAUGAAACAUAAAACUAGGAGAUGCAUGAAGCUUUUCUCAGUAAUGCAUAUUUACCUUAGGAUAUAUUCUCUUUUAAUAAUUCUUUUCUGGCAUGCAAUAAGAAAUGGAGCAUCAACAUGUGAACUUGUGCAAAUAUAGGGCUCACUGUUAUUAAGAGGACAUAUUAUUUUCUGAGAUGGGAGAUGGAACCUUUAUUCUUCCUUGUUUUUUAUCUAAAUCAAAUGCAAUCGUCAUUCAGAAUUUGGUUGGUUUGGAAACAUAAGGGUGGUAUCUAUCAAUUUCAGGGUAGUAUUUGUUAAGUUUCUAGUCUGGCAACAUAUCUGUGAACUUUCAGGAAUUGUACCUUUUAUAAUUGACAAGCCUCUGCCAUUUAGUGGUUUUUUAUUUUUAUUUUUUAUUUUUUGUUAAUUAAGAUAGUUGACUAUACGGAAUGUUUCUUCAUGGAGAAAAAAGGACUACGAACGAUUGUUUCAUAUAGCUGUGACUUAUUCCUAGAUGCAUCCGAUUCUGAGUUGGCCAACUCAUCUGCCACUGUAUUUACCUUCUGAAAAAUGUAUUUAACAAGUUAUGGAGAACUGGUCUUGGUUCUAUUAGUUCUUUUUAGUUCUUUUAAAACUAUUGAUGGCUUUCCAAAUUUUCUAGAUGAUAGUGGCAGUAUCGAACUUUAUAAAACGGAUGGCUCAUUUGCAGUUACUCCAAUCUAACCGCUGUUUUCCUGGUUUUUAAAUACUUAAAAAAUGUUCUUGCCUUUUUUUUUUGUUUUAAUAGACACAUCAUUAAAAGGGAUGGGUAACUGUGGUUACCUAUAAUCCCUUUGCCGGAGCCCUACGUGCCCACAUUUUAGUCAAUUUAUUAUUGUUUUUCCUUUCCAGGAUGGUUGUAAAUAUUCAAUAAAUAUAUAUUGAACAAUGAGUCUGUACUUCUACAAAAUAAACCAAUGUAUUCCAUAUGAUCUAGAGAUUGCCCUCUAAGCCAACAAAUCACAUUUAGUUAAUCACUUUAGAUAAUAUCAAUCAUCAAAUUUCUAUUUAGGCUUCUCAAUCCAUACAAGGCUAUAUUAUUUCUGCCAAAGAGCCCUCAAUACCAAAAGUAUUGCCUGGAUCUUUUAAUUCUCUCCGUGUUUGUUUCAUGUGAUAUCCCAAAAACAUGCAAGUCUACUGCUUCUCUUUGCAGCUCCAACAAAAAUUCAGCUUGAUCAUUUCAUUAUUUUCUCCGUGGUUGGUGGUGAAUCCAAUCUCUCUUGAGGCUUGGGUCUUAAACGUUGAAGAUCUGCGAUUGUUUUUGGGUCAAGGGUUUAAGUAGUUCUUCAUGAGCUUUGGUCCUUUGGUUUUUCAUUAAUUUUUUUUGGGUCAAGGGUUUGACUAGUUCUUCACGAGGUCUUGAUCCAGCUUGGAUUUUUUUUCACCAUUUCGAUUCUUUGAAAGACUCCAUAUUGUCACUAAGAAAGUGCAGCACAACGUUUUUUGCCCUCGCUUGCUCUAUCACAUUCAUCUCCAUCCAUGUGACGUAAUGGAAAUGCAUGUACAAGUUGUAAUUCAAAAAAAAGAAAAAAAAAAAACUAGACUGGCAUUUUUUUAUCAUAUUGUGCAGUUGUACAUGCUAACAACAGCAUGAGACACCCACCUCUUCUUCCUCUACGAUAUUACAUUUGUUUACCAAGACUAAACCCCUAUGUUGGACAUGAUCCAUAGUUAUUUGGACUUAGCUGGUCACCAGCCCAAGCCCUGAUGGAGCAGUGGUACUUUGGCACACCCCUCUUGAAAGGUGGACAAUGUGACCGGGCAAGUCACUACCUAUUAAAAUUUUUCUAUUUUUUCUUUUUGUAUUGCCACUGGAAUCACUCACAAGUCUCUGAAUACAAUAUGAACCAAAUAAAAUUGCCAAGUACUCUCACUUGCUUGCCAUUAAUAUUAAAAUACAUUCGAAAUACAGAUUUGGAAAUAAAAAUGCAAUAGAAUUGAAAGAACAUAAACUAAGAGAAUACCUUAUACCUUACUUCAGGUUACCCCCAAGGAUUUAGUACACCUCACACCGGGUCUCCUCCACCAAUGACAUACGGGAUCUAAGUCCAAGAACUUGUCUCACAAAUUUGGGAAGCCUAGGAAAAAACCAAUAGAGAGCAUAACAUAAUAUAUGCUUGACCACGGCUCAACACCUGGACAUAAGGCCAAGACCUAAUGCUAUAGGCUAUGUGGCUUGGCCGUGCCACCCCUUGGCUUAGUUUUCCUUCCUAAACCCUAAAGUUUGGAGAGAGAAGAAGCGAGAGAUAUUUAGAGAGUGGCAUGUCACUCCUUCAAGCACAAAGAGAGAGAGAGAGAGACAAGUGUAGAGAAUGAGCCCCACCCAUAACUAGUUUAUAUAGAAUAAAGGCUAGGGUUUUGUCAUCUUUGUGAGACUUAAUCUUGACCUUUGAUCUUGGAUAUAUGUGAGGUGAAGAGAUCUCAUCCAUUCAUCUCUUAGAUUAGCCAUUAUGAUUAAAAGGAUGCGGUAGAACCAUUAUCCCUCAGUUUCCAUAACUCCAUUCACAUCAAAUAUUGUGUAGAGAAAGUAAUAAAGAAAUCACAAUUAAUUUUUUUAUAUCUUCUUAUUUUGAAAUCAAUCACAAUUAAUUUCUUACUCCUCCCUAUUUUGAAAUCAAUCAAAAUCUCUGCACAAAAGGUUUCCUAAAAUAUCAAGUCAAAAUAUGGCAUAAUUGCAAUCUUUCAGUUUAGGAAAGUUUGGAACAGGUGGGGCGUACCACCAAUGGGGUGUCCGUCCAUGUGGGCCCUACGUCCCAUACUAUGGUGGGCCCAAUGUACCCCAAUAGGCCUCCAAAUACUUUAAAUAUAAUUUUAAAUAAUAAAAUAAUUUUAUAAAAUCUCAUAAUAUUUUAUUUUUCUCUCUGAUUAAAAUAUAUCCAGAAAAUUGAUUUUUCUUAGUUAAAAAUCAUUUCUCAAUAAAAUAAAAUACCUAGAAAGGUAUAAAAAUUUAUUUUGAUUAUCUAAAAAAUAAGUAACAUAUUUAAAUAUAUCUAUGAAGAUUUGAUGUGAAGGAUCCAUAGAGUUAGGAUUAGGACAAAUAUACUAAGGACUCAUCCUCUCUAGAGACCGUAUCUCACUGCAUCUUCUCAAACUAACCCAAUAGUUGCCAUGACCCACAACCUCUCACAAGGGUUCAUUAGUGGACUAUCAAAUUCAACCAAUAAAGUGAAGGAGAUACAAUUCUAGACCAUAGCUUAUAGGUCCUUCCUUGAAAACAAGUUCAUGCCCCAUUUUAGCAAUAUGCUCCAUGGGUCCUUCCAACACAGUCCAGUGUUGCAGGAAGUUAUCUCUUCUACACAUGUACAUGUCACACACCCUUAUCCAAAAGGGCCACUUCCUGGAUGGCUAUAUAAUAUACAUACCGUAUGAUGGUAAUAAUGAGGAUUUAGGCCACUGUUCUCUCAAGCCAUCCAUCACACACAAGGGUAUUGAUGGGAGUGAUUUUGAUUGUAUGGUGUUAGCAUUUUAGACACUUGGUAAAAUAAAAAGCUGUAUUACUAGAAAAGCUCAUCCACACUCAUUCUUCUUACAUACUUGUUUGCUUUUUUUUUAGAGAGAAAAACUCUUUACUGCGAUUCUCUUGUUGCACUCUUGCUCUUCAAACUAGUAUUAGGCUUUCUUCUACACUAAUCUACAUAUAUGAGGGUUUCUCUUGAAAUGUAAUUUUCAUUCAGCUGUUUUCUCCAUUUUUCACUUUCAUUUCUCAACUUUUGUUUUUGUUUUGCCCUUUUAUUUUUCUUAUUUUUGGUUUUUUUUUAUUUUAAAUGUUGUUGUCUUUGUAAUCCAUUUUCUCAUAUUUCAAGUUGUUUCCCAUAUUUUAUUCUUCUUCAUCUUCCCUUGAGGGUUUUAUUUAGGCUGGAUUUGUGUUUCUACUUGACUGGUUUUAUGGUUUUCUUGGUUCCCUGUGUAGAUAAGUGGUCAAGAUCCCUUGUCUAGUACUUGGCAACACUAGAAAGACAACUCUUCUACAUAAAUUGAAGAAUGAGGUAAUAUUCUUGCAUGGGUUUUAAUGAUUCGAUGUUUUUGUCUUUUUCAUUAUUUUUUGAUUUGUGCUUUCUUUUGCAUGAUUUAUUUCAAAUCUUGUUUAAGUUGCACAAAGAGUGGAACUUCUUGAUGAACAAAGAAAAUAAUUAUUUGUAUUGGUCAUUCGUUUGUGAGUCAGUUAUCCAGGGCUUUCUUAUAAUAAGCACUUGAAAGAGACAAACUGCUUGUUCCUACUACAAAAUGUGCCUGCCGAACCUGUCCACCUGUGCCCAUCUUCCGGGAUUCCUCCAAUUCCUCCCUGUUGUGCCGUAAUGCCUGGAAUACAUACUAAAAACAUUCAAAAUGAGAAGAUGACAAUAUUUAGUCACUCCAAACAUAGAAAAUUGAAACAAAAGAAUGGGCAUUAGCAAGAGAUAUAAUGUUGCUGAUUAGCAGUCACAAUGUUAGGUUACUAUAGGCUAGCAAGUCUAUAGCACAGGAGGAUGGAUCAAUUUUGGCAUUACUAGAGAGCAUUGCAUUUGGCCUAAAGCCUAGUGAAAUUUUUUUCAUGGUUCAAUCACAACAAAGUACAACCAUUUUCUUUUGGAGUCUUGAACAUGGGCCACGUAUACCCAAUCUGAUGGGCAUCCCACAAAUUGUAUAUUAAAUUCACAAACCGCUUUGACAAACUUCAGUUCUAAGCUAGGCCAAGUAGUUUUAUAGAGUCAAUCUUGGUCUGUACCCAUGUCAUAAAAAAAUUGAUUUCUCACUAAAAGUUCUAUCAACCCUAGCCAGGGGUCAUGAAAUCAUAGUAAAGAAGUGAGGAUAUUGUUAUUUGAUGGAGCUUCUUAUGGUGUCUUUAUUGUGUUGUGGCAACCUUGGAUUAGUGAGUUUUAUUAUGGAAUGAAAGAACAUAUUGAAGGCCUUGAUAACGAUCCACUCUUGUAUUUCCAGAGGAAACUUUGUGAAUAAUGAGUACAUAAGUAUGUUUAAGUUGGUAUGUAGCUAUAUAUGCAGCUCUAUGCUUUCUAUUUCAUUUUAGGUGUUAAGAAAUAACCAACAUCAUAUGACGCUGGUUGUAGACAUGAAUUUUGUUUUGGUCAUUUAUGACUUGCUUGUUAGAUUUAUUCAUAAACUGAUGAGCAAUUGGUAAGAUGGAUAAUAGCAUUUAUUUUAGUUGGAAUUCUUAUUUCCUCUUCCCAAUUCUAUCUUGAUAAAUAAAUUUCUCAUUCAGCCCAUUCGAUCAUUGGAUCUGGAGGCAUUUUAUUUUGAUUUUUCAUAUGCAUGAUGAACUUAUGCGUCUCAUGAGUUUGGCAGUAUUUAAUUUGGUCAUAGAAUAUGUCAGUAGCUGAAUGGAUUAGAUGAAUGAAAGAUGCAAUUUUUAGACAUGUCGUGGUGUGUGGCUCUACCACUGUAUGCGAUUAAUGUGCUGUUGCUUCUGACAUACUAGUAGACAAUCUGAUGACCCUCACCAAGCAUGUGUCAUUUUUUGGUGUCAAACAUGGAGGCAUUUUCCAGUUCACAUGUUGAAAUUUCAGACAUGAACACCUAUGGUUUGACAUGUUUGCCCCCAUUAGUUUUGACAUGUGUCUAGACGUUGAACAACCAUAUUCAUAUAUAGGAUGCAUAUAUUUGCUUUUUUAUGUUAAUUUUUUUUAUUUUUUAUUUACUUAAUUAUGUAUAGAGAACUUAGUACCCAACAAAUGCAAGAUGUUGAAGCUUAGUAGUGUACAAACAUGUCGUGCUUGAUACCCUAUUUUUUGGGGGCCAUGUUAGAUGCCAUAUGUCCAUGUCCUCGUGUAGGCUGGGACUGAUUGGUCAUUUGGUUCCUCUUUCUCUAGUCUGAUAAUCGGAACAUGUAUAUUGCUCCACUCUAUGGGGUUAACUUUGUAUUGACUUAAGCUUUCAAGGGUUUGAACAAGCAUUUUAUGAUUUUUCUUGUACAGUAUCACAGAAACGUUUCUCUUUCCACUUCAAACCCUAAGAGCAAUGCAAACUCCAUCUAACUACCCAAAAAAAAACUACAAACUUGAUCGUCUUCUCUCUUUCUCUCUGAUUUUUGUUGGGUUAUCCUAGUAGCAAUCGAAACCCUAUCCUCUUUGAUGAGGGUCAUAAGAUCUUAGACCAAGGCUCCUUUGAACGCUCUCUACUUGUCUCGAGUGCAUGUGCGUGCAAUCAUAAAGCCUCAAGAAUGCUCUCUUGCACACAAACAACUUGAGAGUCCUAAGCCACUCAUUAGUUUAACUUUGAUAAGGUGACCUUGGAUUCCAAAUCUAGCUGAGUGGAUUGCUCCGAUACCUAAUUCAACCUCAUAGAAUGCUAAUUUUUCUUUUAAUUAUUUUUCAAAUUGUUCCAAAAUGUGUUAUGGAGAAUGCUUUGGUUAAUUUUUGGGAGUUUUUGUAGAUUUUUUGAAAAUUUUGUUUAACAUAAAAAUUUUAAAUAAUUAUUUUUAAGAAAUGACAAAUAAGGACAAACCUGAGCAACCCACACAUGACACCCAAAUGGCCAAUGGGUGUCCCCUCUAUGGGAACUAUAUCAUAAUUAUUUAUUAUUUAAUGAGGUUUUUAGUUGUGGAGCUGGAUCUCAAGCUUUGAUGAAACCCUAGCCAUUUGUUUUUUUUUUUAAAAUGUUCUAUAAUUUUAUUGCUUCAAAGAAAGUUACAACAAUUCUAAACCAAAGGAAUGUUUCUUAGGUAUUCAAGCUAAGAGGCCGAUGGGACGAAUGUCAGUUAUCACAAAGAUUGAAUGUUUCUUAGGUAUUAAAGCUAUGUAAGUAGAGUUUGUCGCCCUACUCAAAGAGCCUUAUCCAGAAACUCAUUAAGCAAUUCAAAUUUAGUCAAAUCCCAAAAUCUUUAGAAAAAUGUUAAAGGAAACCCAUCCGGACCUGGAGCCUUAUCUCCUGGAAGUGCAAAGACUACCCUCCUAACCUCUUCCUCUGUAGCCCAAUUUUCCAAAGAAGUAGCUUCCUCAACUGAUAAACUCUAAAAUUGCAAGCCAAACAAUCUAGAGAUAAAAGCCAAUUCUUUAGAAUACAGUCUCUGAAAAUGGCUAACGAAUUUCAGUGCCUAGGCCGACCUAUCCUGCACAUCCACACCUUCAAAUUGAAUUCCUGAUAUAUCGUUCUGCCUUCUCCUCGCAUUAGCUAUAGCACGAAAAAUUUUCGUGUUUAAAUCCCCCUCUUUAAGCCACUUAACUCUUGAUCUCCGCAUCCAAUAUAUCUCUUCUGACCUUAAAAUCUCACUAAGCGAAUUCAUAAGGCUCAUAUUCACUUCUUUUAAUUGAACAUAUGAACUUCCCCCAUUGUAAACAACCAUCUCUAUCAGAUCUGAACUCAUCUGCACUUCCCCAAUUUUUUUUUUUAUAUGGAAUUUCGUCUCUUUUUUCCACUAAAUAAGUUUGUGCUUGUUGUUCACCAACCUUUUAUGAAUUUGAAAUCCAUACUACCCUGGGUAGAUUGAAUUUUUCCAAGCAUUCGAGAUAAGCUCUAUCACGUCUGCUUCUUCUAACCAUACCAGGUCCAACCGAAAAGGCUUAGGACCCGUCAUCACAUUAUCAAUUUGCAAACAAAUAGGAAUGUGAUUAGAAGAUAACUUAGUAAGUGCAUUAACCUUUGCCAAUGGGAACUUCAACUCUCAAUCAUCCAAAAUCAAUAACCGAUGAAUCUUACAUUGAAUCAGAUUAUCUACACUGUUAUUUGACCAUGUGUAAUGCACUCCAUUAAUAGGCAGAUCUUCAAGAUAGUGCCGCAUAAUAAAAUGAUUCAAAAUACGCAUGGAAUGGUUCAAAGAUGAAUUAUAUUAUAUUUCCACUUACCAUCGAAUCAUAUUAAAGUCUCCACCGAUACAAAAAGGAAAUUAAAAUCCAAAAUGAUAGUAGAAAUUUCAUUUUAAAAAUCCUCUUUCAAAGCAUAAGAGUUUGGUCCAUAUACAUUGAAACAAACCCAUUUAAAGCUAUCAUUUAACCUCUUUCCCCCACCACAGAACCUAACAGCUUAAGGCUCGUCAAGUCCCACACAGACCACAAACCACCAGAAAAACCUACAAGAUCGAUACCCACAAAAUCUACUAGUCCCCCACCCCAAACAUCCCUAACUAAAAAAACUGAGGGAGAAGGUAGCUUUGUCGCUUGAAAAAGCAAAACAUCUGGUCUAUGAGACCUAACCAACAUUCAAACUUCACGCUUCUUCUUAACCUCCCCCAAGCCUCAAAUAUUCCAACUAAUGAGAUUCAUUAAAACAAGAUGAGGAUCCAUUUCUAACUUCCGACCCCUGAGUAGAAUCAGUUGCCUGUCUCAAGGUCAUGUAUUGCUUCAGCCAUUUUUCACUUGAGCAAUGAACCUUGAGUAUCCCAAAAGAAAAUGUGCACUGGUGUCUAUAAAUAUAUAUUGAGAUCCAUUCUAAACAUUUUUUAUGUUCUCUUUCAAACAACUCAAUGGCUUGUUAGCAUUCCCUGUUUACUUUAUGAAAUGAGAUCUCCAUAAUAGCGGUGAUUUCUUUGAACUCCCACUCUGAUUUAGUAAGAAUGGUUUAAAACAAGGACUAGGGUCAGUCUCGUGCUUGAGUCAUGAAACUUGGACUCUGCCAAGUUUGGCAGAGACUCGAUUGAGUGAAAACUAAUGGGAACUAGCGAGACUCGGUUGUUUCCUAUAGUUUUCAUUCGGACUCUUUUGUCUAAGUAACUCAGGCAAGCCAGGAUAGGUGCGAGUUAGUUCAAAUGGAAGGCUCAAGAAUGGCAAGUGGUAGGCCCAAAAGGACAUGGUUGGAACUAGUGAGAAAAGAUAUGGUGACUUAUAGCCUCACUGAGGAUAUGGCUCUUGAUGAAGCGAAAUGGCAGAUCAAGAUUCGUGUAGCCGCCCCCAAAUAGUUGGGAAAAGGCUCUGAUGAUGAUGAUUCGUAAAUCGUAAAUCUUUAUUUUUUUUUCUUGUUCUUUCUUUAUUUUGGAUUUUAUUAAGCUACUUGUUUUGAAUGAAUCCUCUCUACCUGCUUUCCAUUAUGCUUCCCCUCGACCAUUGAUUCAAAAAGUUGUCUGCCCCGUGCCUAGGCAGGCUACGGUGGCCUGGGCGAUUGACCAUUGAUUCAAAAAGUAGUCCACCUAGUGCCUGCUUAGGCUAGGGGGCCUGGGCGCAUCGUCCAAGCUUGAGUGGACCGAUUAAGUGGGUGUCCCUGGGCUUCCGCCUAGUACCUUUGCUUAAGCAGAUGUCCAGGGUACCUAGGUGGGUGCCCAGGGGACUACGUCUGCUUAGGUGCAAAAAUACCCAUCAAGUGGGGUAUUUUGUUUUUGUUUGGAUAAUAAAAAAUGCAUAUCCAUGCUUAGGACUUAAAACAUGAUUACUGGAUACCCCUUGCCCCUUUAACCUGGGCGGGCAUUUUUGGAACAUUGCCCUCGACUCUUAUAGCCCUAGUGUCGGAGUUUGGAUCAUGGUUCAUUUUUAUAUUGCAUCUUUACCCUUGUUGCUAUUUAUGUGUUAUGAAAACAAAAAUUUUCCCUUUUUUGUGUUUCUUUAUGCUUUGUUCUCGUAGUUUCUCAAUAAUAGAACUUCAUUCAUGCAUGUAAACUUAGUCAUUUGGAGUCUUACUUGCAGCAUGUUAUGAGUAAGUGGAUUGCGAGCAAGAUGUUUUAUGUUUUGCACGUGGCCUUGUGUUUGCACAUGUGAUUGCAUGAGAGUUGCUUUUGGUUUGUUGCUUUUUUUUAAUAUAUGCCGGGUUGCCUACUAUCAAUGUUAAAAAAUGUAGAUUCGGCCGCUUAACCGGUUUUGGGUGCCUGGCUGCCUAGGGGCCCAUGCUCUCACCCAGAGACAGGGUGUCCUCACCAUUAAGACUUAAAUGAAUAAUUAAAUAUAUAAGACCUUAGUUUCACUUUCACAUUAGAUUUAACUCAUUAAGAUAUCACGUAAUCAUUUAUUUAUCAAAUAAAGUAAAACAAAAAUAAUAUAAUAUCAAAACGUGACACAUUGUACAAGAAAUGAAUCAAUUAUUUAUAAAAGAAUACAAUAUAUGCUCAAUUUCAUUGUCCACAUGAGAAAAAUUCAAUUAAUCACAAAAAAAGCAAUCUUUUAACUACAAACAUGUAAAUAUAGCGUAAAAGAAUAAAAAAAAAAGUAAAGGAAAAAACACAUGAUUCAUAACCUAAUAUGUUGUAAUCAAAUAAAAUCAAAACCCUCUUUAAAAUAUGAUAAUACUUUAAAAAUAUCAAAAUCAACUAUUAGAAGCUCCAAAUCCACCCACGAACUAUUGCCUUUGUUUUGGGAAGAAAUAAAAAAAUUAAAAAAUUUAUCGAUCUUUCGAUAAAUCACAAAAGAGUGAUUUUUGGGGGGUUUUUCUCACCCUAAAGGCCACGGUUUUUGUUUUAGGGGUUAGAAUACCUCCCAAAACCCUUUUCCCCCCUUUUUAAGGGGGGGAAAUUACAUUUUUUGACCCUACCCAAGGUUUUUUUUCCGUCCGUGCGCAAAGUGUCAGGGGGGGCGCCUAGGCGGGCGCCCAAACAGUAGUUCCUAGGCAGCGCCUUCCCCGCCUAGGUGGGCGCCUAGAGAUAGGGCGCAUAAUGACCCCGCCCAAACAUCCUAGGCGUUUUUUGAAUUUUUUCGCGUAGUCUGCCUAGGCGGUUGGGCGGCCAAAUUUUUGAACACUGCCUACUAUGUAGCUAUAUAAUUUAAAAGAAACUGUAUUACCAGUUCCUCCUAAAGAAGAGAAGAAAUUUAUUGGGCUCAUCUGGCUAAAGUCAGAUGGCUCAAGCUUGACAACCAAAAUACAACUUAUUUCCACAAGAUAGCGAACUGUCAAAGAAGGGAGAACUGUAUUACCCACUUCAAGGUGGCGGACCAGAUUGUUGACCAUCCCAAUCUCAUUGAGGCAGCGGUUGUCGAAUAUUUUUCCAAGCUUUUCUCUUCCCCUUCUAGUCCUAGGCCAGUAAUGGCGGACCACUCCUUCUCUUCUAUUUCUCCCGAAUCUGCAGCCUCUUUGGAAACCCCUUUUAGGAGGACAAAGUACUCCAAGCCAUUAAAGACCUCAAUGGACUUCCCCAUAGCCCUCUUCAAAGUCUUUUGGGAUACCCUUAGGACUGAUAUUGUGGCUUUUUUUUUCUGAAUUUCACUCUCGAGCUACUAUCCAUAAGGCGAUGAAUGCCACUUUCAUUGCCAAGAUGCCCAAGAAGGAGGGAGCAAAAGAGCUUAAAGACUUCAAACCCAUUAGUUUGAUUAAUACUUCCUACAAAAUUCUCUUAAAGGCCUGGCUUCCCGCCUUAAACGGGUCCUUGGUCAGGUGAUCUUAUCGUCCCAAGGGACCUUUGAGAAGGAACAUUAGAUUCUCGAUGGGGCUCUAAUAGCACACGAGUGCAUCCAUUCCCGCUGUAGAGCAAAAAUCCCAGACUCGGUAAUCAAAAAGCUUAUGAUGAUGAGACUUUGUCCAAAAUGCCAUUUGGCUCUCUAUGGUUGAGAUGCAUUCAAAACCCCAAUUUUUGGACCUUAUUAAUGACACAUCUAAGGGUUACAUUCAUGCUUCGAGAGGGCUCUACCAAGGGGAUCCCCUUUCACCCUUCCUACUUGCCAUAGUAGCUAAGGUGUUCAGUGCCUCACUAUCUCGUGUGUACAACACGGGACGCAUUUAGGGUUUCCAAGUGGGUAGGUGGGGUCUCUCUAUAUUCCACCUCUAAUAUGUCGAUGAUACCCUCCUUUUUUGUGAUGCAAUUUUUUAAAAAGUUAGUUGUUUGUUGCUCUUCCUCCAAUGCUUAAAGUUGGCUACGGGCUUUAGGGUGAACCUAGAAAAAACUAAGAUGACAGGAAUCUGCCUUGACCAAGCCAUAGUGAAAUGCUUCGCUGACUCAUGGGGAUGUGCUGUAGAGCCAAUGCCUUCAUCCUAUCUUAGCCUUCCAUCUUGCAUUGGCCUUCCUCGAAUCCAGUUAUGGAGCCUAGUUAUAGACAAAGUCGAGUGGCACCUGGCUUCAUGAAAAGGGAGAGUCCUUUCACCAGGCUGCAAAGCAACCCUUAUCAAGGCCACAAUUUCCAGUAUUUCCCUUUUCAUUAUGUCCUUUUUCUUUAUGGUCGUAGUCGCUAGACUGGAAAAACUCAUGAGGGCUCUAAGGCUGCUCUUUGAAGGGGCAAGUGAAGAAAGUCAAGCCCCAAGCAUGAGAGCUUAUGUAUGUAGAAGUGUCUAUCAAUUGAAAACCUACUGAGGCUAUGAUUGACCCUGGGGCUACACACAACUUUGUGGCGGAUCAAGAGGCUCGUUGGCUGAACCUCAGUGAAAGUACUGGAUGGUCUCUCCCUAAAAUCAAAUACUUGCGGGUGUCGUUCAGCCUCCUUUCAAGGGAAGAGAGGCUAGAACUUGCCGCUCUCCCUCCCUCACUUACCUUUGACAAUGAAGCGAGAAUUGAAUCAAUUACUUGUUUCAGUCAGCUUGCUUUCAAACUAGCCGUACUCGAACCGUCCUCAUAGACACGAUGAAACUCGAUUUCUUGUUCACCUCCUCGUCACCCGCUUUACUACUCCCUUGCUAGUUUCUUUUGUCUGACCCGUAACCCUUCCUCUUCGAUGGCAGAAAGCAUUACUGGUCCACCUAAUGCGAGAUCUUGAAACCACAAUUUCAAGAGACUCUUAGUUGACCACAAGCUUCCCCAGUUUUUGAAUCUCUCGGUCUUGCCCGAUUCGAUAUUUUUUCUCCCACAUGCAAUGACAAGAUUGUCUGAUUGCCCUCUCCAUCAGGUUUGUUCACAGUUGCUUCAUUUUACUGAAGCUUAUAGUCCCUGCCUUCUCCUCCCCUCUCAGCCUUUCCCUCUAUAGCCACCAUGGCUUGGUGCUCCUUUUUGCCCUCAAAAUCCAGCUUAUUACUUGGAUAGCACUCUAUGAAAGGGCUUUGACACUCGAUCAACUACAGCAAAGAGGUAUACAUUUUCCUAAUAGGUGCACCAUGUGCCUCAAUGCUGAAGAAACCAAUCAACAUCUAUUUCUAAAUUGUGAGGUUGCCUUGGCCCUUUGAACCGACCUUCUUCUUUUAUUCAAGUGGCUGUGGGUCAUUCCCCAAUUGAUCCCUCACCUCUUCUCCUUAUGCCUUGGAACUCCUUGGAAAAAUUCAGGAAAUCUUCUUAUGGAGUGCUUCCAUCUCAGCCACUCUUUGGACCAUUUGAAUUGAGAAGAAUAAUAGGAUCUUUAGUGAGGAGAGAGCCUCUACCUCAGCUCUUUUUGAAAAAAGGAGGUUACUUGUCACAUUCUGAGCCCUAAACCUCCCAAGCUUCUACAUCUUCUCCUUUUCGGAUCUUCACCAAAAUUGGCAAGCAUUGCUACACCUAAGUACCCAUAGGAUUCCUCAAGCUUCUUUAUGAAGGACACCGGAACCUGGGGCCAUCUGAUAGCUGCUCUCUAGGCAACCAGGGCUCCUCAGGCAUUGGAUGCCUGUUUAGGAAUUUUGAAGCCCUGAUCUUCCUUUCUUAUGCUCUGCCUAUCAGAGUCAAGGACUCCACAUUCGCUGAGGCCAAGUCUCUAAUCAGAGGACUCAGAAGAUUUAAUCAUCUUUGGAGCAGAAAGGUGUAGGUAGAGGAUAUUCCAGCAACACUAUCGCUUGGGCUUCUGGCAAUGCCCUCUGCCCUUGGAGACUAGAUAACAUUUUUGUCGAAAUUGGCCACAUUUGCAGCAGUAUCCAAGUCUCUUGGAGACACACUCAUAGGAAUUGUAACGCUGCGGCAGAUGCACUAGCAAGGGAGGGAGCAAGUCUCAACUAUCCCUAGGGGAAUUUGGACCUCCCUUAGUGCUCACCUCAGUUUUGGAUCUAUUGCAAAGAUCCUCGGACCCUCAAGGCUUCUUGUAUAGGGCACCCUGUUUUGGGAAUUGCCUAGUUUUGUUAGUAAUUGUCUAUACAAUCAAUACAAAAGUCAACUUCCUCCAGGAAAAAAAAGAAGGUUGGUUGACUAAUGGAGAACAUGUUGAUUUAUUGCAUUUGGGUUUUAUGCCUAGAGGAUUCAUUAGAAGGUUCAGAACUUUUUAAUACUAGAUCUUUCUAUUCNNNNNNNNNNNNNNNNNNNNNNNNNNNNNNNNNNNNNNNNNNNNNNNNNNNNNNNNNNNNNNNNNNNNNNNNNNNNNNNNNNNNNNNNNNNNNNNNNNNNNNNNNNNNNNNNNNNNNNNNNNNNNNNNNNNNNNNNNNNNNNNNNNNNNNNNNNNNNNNNNNNNNNNNNNNNNNNNNNNNNNNNNNNNNNNNNNNNNNNNNNNNNNNNNNNNNNNNNNNNNNNNNNNNNNNNNNNNNNNNNNNNNNNNNNNNNNNNNNNNNNNNNNNNNNNNNNNNNNNNNNNNNNNNNNNNNNNNNNNNNNNNNNNNNNNNNNNNNNNNNNNNNNNNNNNNNNNNNNNNNNNNNNNNNNNNNNNNNNNNNNNNNNNNNNNNNNNNNNNNNNNNNNNNNNNNNNNNNNNNNNNNNNNNNNNNNNNNNNNNNNNNNNNNNNNNNNNNNNNNNNNNNNNNNNNNNNNNNNNNNNNNNNNNNNNNNNNNNNNNNNNNNNNNNNNNNNNNNNNNNNNNNNNNNNNNNNNNNNNNNNNNNNNNNNNNNNNNNNNNNNNNNNNNNNNNNNNNNNNNNNNNNNNNNNNNNNNNNNNNNNNNNNNNNNNNNNNNNNNNNNNNNNNNNNNNNNNNNNNNNNNNNNNNNNNNNNNNNNNNNNNNNNNNNNNNNNNNNNNNNNNNNNNNNNNNNNNNNNNNNNNNNNNNNNNNNNNNNNNNNNNNNNNNNNNNNNNNNNNNNNNNNNNNNNNNNNNNNNNNNNNNNNNNNNNNNNNNNNNNNNNNNNNNNNNNNNNNNNNNNNNNNNNNNNNNNNNNNNNNNNNNNNNNNNNNNNNNNNNNNNNNNNNNNNNNNNNNNNNNNNNNNNNNNNNNNNNNNNNNNNNNNNNNNNNNNNNNNNNNNNNNNNNNNNNNNNNNNNNNNNNNNNNNNNNNNNNNNNNNNNNNNNNNNNNNNNNNNNNNNNNNNNNNNNNNNNNNNNNNNNNNNNNNNNNNNNNNNNNNNNNNNNNNNNNNNNNNNNNNNNNNNNNNNNNNNNNNNNNNNNNNNNNNNNNNNNNNNNNNNNNNNNNNNNNNNNNNNNNNNNNNNNNNNNNNNNNNNNNNNNNNNNNNNNNNNNNNNNNNNNNNNNNNNNNNNNNNNNNNNNNNNNNNNNNNNNNNNNNNNNNNNNNNNNNNNNNNNNNNNNNNNNNNNNNNNNNNNNNNNNNNNNNNNNNNNNNNNNNNNNNNNNNNNNNNNNNNNNNNNNNNNNNNNNUCCCCCUACAUGCUGACACACACGUGCACGUGCACAUUUGCACAAACAAAAUGAAAAAUAACUAUUGCUACCCAUGAAAGAAGUAUUAAGCACUUACAUGUAGAACAUUUGUUUCUGAGUUUUUUAGUUAAGCAUAUAUAAAACAAUAAAAAAGUAUACAAAAAGAUCGUUUACUUUUUGUACAAGGAGGUCACAAUCAUUCAUAUCCCUUAAAUUUCAAAUUGGGUGGUUGUAGGAGUGUCAUUAGAUAAACUCAAAGUUUGAAAAAAAAAUUCUCGGACUUUGUGACCCACUCUAAGGCAACAAAGUUGACAUCCAAUGAAUAAAAAUAAUUGUGACCCCCUUAUACAAAAAGUAAAUGGUCUUUUUGUAUACAAUCCCGAUAACAUUUGCUCCUUGCGUGAUCAAUAAGGUCUGUUGAUAUCAAUUUACAAUUUGACUUUGGGCACAGGUGUCUCCUAUUUUGUCUAAAUAUGCAUAGGAAUUUUCAAAUUUUGUGUUUUUCAUAUUACCGAAGUGUGUUUCAUAUUACUAAAGUGUUUUUCAAAUUUUCAUAUUUUGUCUAAAUAUGCAAGAGAUAAUAUUACUGAAGUGUUUUUCAAAUUUUCAAAUUUUCAUAUUAUCGAAGUAUUUUUCAAUGUUUCAACUUUUCAAAUUUUCAUAUUUUGUCUAAAUAUGCAAGAGAUCAUAUUACCGAAGUGUUUUUCAUAAAAACAUGAAGUACAUGUAUAUAUUUUCUUUGUUAAAAAAUAUGAUUUUUUGAAGAUCUUUUGAAAAAAUUUAGAGUUCUUAAAGGAUUUCAAAACUUAGAGAUUUUUUAAAAACUCUUGUUUUAAGCGAAGACUUGCGAGCUUGGAGGUUCAAGUUUUGGCCUUGUAGGUUCAGGGUUAAGGAAAUUGAGGUUUUAAAUUUUUUAUGAUCAAUAAUAGAGCAUUCAGGAGGAGGAGAUAGAAACUGAGGGUUUUAGAGAGAGAAAGAGCCAAGAAAAGAGUUAAAAAUUUGAGCUUUUUUAAGAAAAUUUAUUUUUAUGAUAUCUAAAUAGUUUUCUAUAUUUUUAUUGAUAGCUUUUGAUGCUAAAUAUUAAUAUAUUUUUUCUUCUAAUUUUUACCGAAUUUUUAGAAAUGUUUUUUGGCUUUUAUAGGGCUAGUUUGGGAUUAAAUAUAGUGGGUUAGUUUUACUCAGCUCGUAUCGGCUCGAUUCAGCCAAAGAUGAUGAAUAUCGGCUCGGCUCGGCUAAAUUCGGCUAAAAUCAGCUCGGCUAGAUUCGGCUCGGCUCGGCUAUAUUAGGCUCAGCUCGGCUCAAUUCUGCUAGAUUCGGCUCGGCUCAGCUGACUUUAGGUAAAUUUGUAAUGGAACUGAGCUGAGCCGAAUAAUAUAAGCCGAGCUGAGCCGAUACCAGCUAAGCUGAGCUGAUAUCAGCCGAACCGAGCCGAUAUAAACUGAGCCGAGCCGAUAUCAGCCGAGCCGCGCUGACCAAGCCAGCCAGUUCGCCCACAACCUCCAUUUAUAUUAAAAAAAAAAAAGGUGGCUAAACCAAUCACGUUCACCUUUUUUUCCGCUCUGUGUACCUGUGUAAAGUGGGAGAUUAGUUUGAGGAUUGGGAUUUUGAGAAACUUCUUCACUGCUUUAGGUUUUAUGUGUCAUGAGAAAAUGAUUGUGGUUUGUUUCUUGACCACUAUGAUAAUAAAUAAAGGGAAUGGCAGCUGCUUCAAUUGUUGAGAGAAAGAGAAGUACAUUUGUACCAGUUAGAGAGAGAAAGAUUUGCAUUCUUUCAGAGAGAGAGAACAUAAAGAGAUUGCAGAAAAACACUUGGAAGAAGGAACAAGUGGAAAAGGAAAAGAUGAGGUAGUUUUCUUUCUAACUGAUCACCAAUUAAGAGGAUAAGGGGUUUGCUUUCAUUUGCCUACAUCUGUGUAACUCUGAUAUGCAAGAGAGAGAGGGAAAAUGCCUGGCCAAGAAAGAAAGGAGCAAAAGGGCAUAUGCUAGCAUCCUGACCUCCACCACUUCCUUGGGCUCACUCUUUAAUAAAGGUGUAUCUGAUGCGAGAGGAAUUUGAGUUGCUUGACCUCUUGUUUUCAUUUCUUUCAGGUUCUUAAUAAAGUUUUUGUUUUUAGAUAAAUACAACCACAAGAAUUAGAAUGAAAGAUAUCCAUCAUAAAAUUGCUUUUAGAUAAAUACAACCACAAGAAUUAGAAUGAAAGAUAUCCAUCAUAAAAUUGCUUUUAGAUAAAUACAACCACAAGAAUUAGGAUGAAAGAAAUCCAUCACAAAAUUACAUAAAUAGAGCACACAAUGCAGUGGACAACAAAAGCAACCCUAGACAAAACCAAACUAAAGUUUGGUAAUUUGGAUUCAAUUUAUGAAGAAACUGUUGAUGCCCCAAGUAGUUCAGCUGGAAAUAUGCAGUAUAUCACAUUGCAAAUAGAGGGGGCAAACCAGAGAUUGCCACUUCCUGUGCAUAGGUUCUGAGUCCUUUGGCAACUGUCGAUGCCACUGAGAGUAUAGAUUUUGCCAGGAGUGGGCAUUUCUUUCUGUUGGGUCUUGAAGCUAUGUCUGCAUUAUGCUCUGAAAAUCCAAGUUCACCAAUUUUACAUGUUCCUUUGGUUUGCAAAUUACAUACACUGUCCAUGGUUUUCCUCAAAAGAAAUGACAUUCUUGAAGAGAAGAAAACGAGAGAUACUUUCAAAACUUUACACGACUUGUAUGGGCAACGUCUGGACAAACUGAGACAAAGAAGACCUGAAGUCGUUCCUGAAAAUGAAAAAUCCUCUGGUGUAUAGAGCAGAAAAAUCCUUUACUUCGUAAAAGACGUCCAUGAAAGUUAUCGCUCAUUUAUUGAGAUCCCCAUUGAGCAAUUCAGUGCUGUAUCCUAUUUGGCCAGCAAUUAGGUGUAUAUCUCCACCGUACAGUAGAAGUGCCAGUCAGUCUUGCUGCAUAGAAAGCACUAUCCAAUGUCCAUAUUUUGGAACUUUUUCCACCCAUAAAUGAUUGCAUUGCGGAGAUUGAAGGAUAUCUUAUCCCUUUUGAGGUACUGGAUUAGACUUCUGUUUGCUUCCAUGCCCAGACUUUACUUCAUACUGGCAUCUUUUGACAAAGCUCUGUCUCUGACUUAUGUUGUGCACUGUUUUUUAGUGAGAGAAAGAGAAGUACAUUUGUAAAUAGUUAUAGAGAUAAAGGUUUGCAUUCUUUCAGUGAGAGAGAGAGAACCUAAAGAGAUUGUAACAGAAAUACAAAUAGAAGAAGGAACAAGUGGAAAAGGAAAAGGUGCAGUGGUUCUCUCUCUCUCUAACUGAUCAUCAAUCAAGAGGUUAAGGGGCAUAUCUGUGCAAAGUUUGAAUGUGCAUCUGUGUAACUCUGUAAGGCCACUGUUUAAUUUCUAGAGAAUCAUCAAUGCACUUCAAUUUUCAGCUUUUCUGCUACCUGACUUAUGUCCUUACUCAUGCUGCUCGAUGUAGCCACCCUUUAGCUUACAGUUAUCUCCCAAAUAAGAAAAAUAAAAUUGAAAAUCUGUCUUUAGGUAUCUUUGUGGAGGCAGAGGGAGACCUGCUGCUCUUCGAGAUGAUGAUUUCUGGCUCAGGGCUGCUCUUGACCCUUGUCAUUUGCUUUGUAUUUUUGUGUUCUUUGAUCCUUUUUAUAUAUAGAAAUUUUGUGGUCUAUCAAAAAAAGUACAAAGUAUUUUGAUGCAGCACCUUAACGUGGUUGAAAGGCUUGUAUAAUGCUAGCGUUAGUUCAGUUGCGUAUUUGAAUCAUGAGUUUGUUUUCCCCACAGCAUGUACGUGUUCUUGAAAUAUGUUAUAUAUAUAUUUAUUCAUCCAUGUGAUGGUGCUGUUAGGAUGGGUGGGUGUCUUCCUUAAAUCUUUAGAGUUAGAAGCAUUGGGAGCGGAAGACGAUGUUGAUAGCAGAGUUAUUGCGCUGGAUAACCGAACCUCUCCACAUCAUGCAGCCAUUGAAAAGGCAGAGCUCAGGUAACCACCAUUGUCAUUUUCCUCUGGAUAUCUGUCCAUCAUCGGAUGCUUGUUUUUUUUUUUUAAAUAUCCAAGCAGUUGAGAAUUUGAUUGAGAGAGGAAAGGAGAAGCGAACUAGACGAGUUGUUGCGCUGGAAAACUGAACCUCUCCACUUCAUGCAGCCAUUGAAAAGGCUCAAGCAGUGCUCAGGUAGCCACCACCGCCAUUUUCUCUGGAUAUCUAUCCAUCUUUGGAUUUGUUUUUUUCUUUUCUUUCAAUAUCAAAGCAAUACUAUGAUUGAGCUACUCGCCAGCUUGAACUAGAGUUUCUUGAGAAGGUAAGAACUUGUUUGUUGUUGUCUCACUUUACCAUCUCCUCGAUACAUUUGUUGCCGUUGCAAUCCCAUUUAAUAAAGAAGAAUUUCCAUUCUUGUGUUGUAGGGAGGCAAUCCCUCUUCUUCCUAUUCCUCAAAAUCUUCUGUACCGGCCUUUGUGGACUCUCGCUUUGCGAACUCAAUCGACCAAGCCCAAGGCAAUCCUCACGAGAUCCCUUAAGUGAUGGGCUUCCUGUUCAAUGGCCCACAUGAAGCCCUUGAAGCUUCAUCAAUGUUGAUAGCGAAUCGAGAUGCCAGUACAAGUUGAAGAAUGUCAAAGGUAAGGCUCCCGCCACCAAUUUAAGAGCAUCUCGAGAGCUAUCCAACUCUCUUUCAAAGUAAGGUACGAGAAAGGGGAACCCUCAGCUAAGGUCCUCCCCCCUCCCUCGGCUCCUCAGCAUUCUCGCCGCUUGGCCAUGAGUGCCAUUCGCCCCUUACCUUUGCUAUGAAGAUCUUUAUUUGGAAUAGAAGGGUUUGGACCACCCAGGAAAACAACAAAUAUUCAUCAAUUUGUUUCAGAGUAUUCUCCCUCCCUUCUUAGUUUUGUGGAAACCAAGUUUCCUUCCCCCAGUCUCCUAAAUUCAAAAUAUUUGGGGUCUUCCCCUAGCAGUGGUUAGCUCUGGAUGGUCCCAUCUCAACACGCCUUAGUUGCCUCUCACAUUAGCAAGUUCUCUGUCAUAGUGACCCUAGCUAGGAUCACUGAUUUCCUCCAUUAGAAGUGCAUUGUGGUCUAUGAACUAUAAGAAGACAACGAGAAAUUGAACGUUUUGAGAGAGUUACAAUCUUUGAUGACCUCCCUUUUUCUUAGUGGUGCGUAGGAGGUGAUUUUAAAAUCACCAGAUGGUCUUACAACCGUAAUUCCCACGACAAAACUGCCCCUUCAAUGGUAUAGUACUCUGAUUUCUUAGCUCAUAACAGUCUUUUAGACAUCCUGGUUGAAGGAGCUGAGUUCAGUUGGUCUAGUCAUUCGGCUAAUCCAAGUCUCUCAAAAUUAGAUAGAUUUUUAACCCCUAUCGAGUGGGAUCAUGAGUUCCCUGGCACCCACUCUCUGGUGCUUCCCAAGCCCGCCUCAAAUCAUAGAUCUAUCUUGCUGGAGACCCAAUCCCUUCCUCGAAGGCCUAAGCCUUUUCGCUUUGAGCUGUCUUAGCUCUAAGAGCCCGGCUUCCCCUCUCCCGUCUAUAACCAUUGGGAGUCCUUCUCCCCACUUAUGAAUGGGUGGGCCCGUUUUAUCUUGUAGAAAAAGCUUCAAAUGCUCAAAGUUCUCCUGAAAUCAUGGAGUUCACAUCUCCCUGGAAACUUAUGAUACCCAAAAGACUCCCUUUUGAGGUCUAUUCAACACUGAGACUUCAUUGAAGAACUUAGACCUCUCUCCCCUUGUGAGCUGGAUUCUCGAUACAUCCACAAACAUGAUUACCAAUGCCUCCUAAAGAAAAAAGAAAUUUUUGGAGCUCAGCGGGCCAAAGUCAAUUGGCUCAAGCUUGGCAACCAAAAUAUAGCUUACUUCCACAAGAUAGCCAACUGUUGAAGAAGGGAUAACUCUAUUACCCACUUCAAGGUGUGGGACCAAAUUGUUGACCAUGAGUUCCCUGGCACCCACUCUCUGGUGUUUCCCAAGCCCACCUCAAAUCAUAGACCUAUCCUGCUGGAUACCCAAUCCCUUCCUCGAAGGCCUAAGCCUUUUUGCUUUGAGCUGUCUUGGCUCUAAGAGCUUGGCUUCCCCUCUCCUGUCUGUAACUAUUGGGAGUCCUUCUCCCCGCUCGGUGGGCCCGUUUUAUCUUGUAGAAAAAGCUUCAAAUGCUCAAAGUUUUCUUGAAAUCAUGGAGUUCACAGCUCCCUGGAAACUUAUGAUACCCAAAAGACUCCCUUUUGAGGUCUAUUCAACACUGAGACUUCAUUGAAGAACUUAGACCUCUCUCCCCUUCUGAGUUGGAUUCUCGAUACAUCCACAAACAUGAGUACCAAUGCCUCCUAAAGAAAAAAGAAAUUUAUUGGGCUCAACGGGCAACCAAAAUAUAGCUUACUUCCACAAGAUAGCCUACUGUUGAAGAAGGGAUAACUCUAUUACCCACUUCAAGGUGUGGGACCAAAUUGUUGACCAUCCCAAUCUCAUUGAGGCAGUGGCUGUCGAAUAUUUUUCCAAGUUUUUCUCUUCCAGUUCUAGUCCUAGGCCAGUGCUGACGGACCUCUCUUCUCUUCUAUUUUUCCCGAAUCUACAGCCUCUUUGGAAAGCCCUUUUUAAGAGGACAAAGUACUCCAGGCCAUUAAAGAUCUCAAUGGAGACCGAUUCCCCCAGCCGUGACAAGUUCUCCAUAGCCCUCUUCGAAGUCUUUUGGGAUACCCUUAGGACUGAUAUCAAGGCCUUUUUUUUUUAAUUUCAUUCUCGAGCCACUAUCCAUAAGGUGAUGAAUGCCACUUUCAUUGCCAAGAUCUCCAAGAAAGAGGGAGCAGAAGAGCUUAAAGACUUCAGAGCCAUUAGUCUGAUUAAUACUUCUUACAAAAUUCUCUUAAGGGCCUGGCUUCCCGCCUUAAAUGCAUCCUUGGUCAGGUGAUCGUAUCAUCCCAAGGGACCUUUGUGAAGGAAUGCUAGAUUCUUGAUGGGCUUCUAAUAGCACACGAAUGCAUACAUUCCCGCCGUAGUGCAAAAGUCUCAGGCUUGGUAAUAAAAAAUCUUAUGAUCAUGUGGACUGGGUUUUAUUGAUGAGACUUUGUCCAGAAUGCCAUUUGGCUCUCUAUGGUGGAGAUGGAUCCAAGGGUGUAUUUCAAAACCGUAAUUUUUGGACCUUAUUAAUGGCACAUCUAAGGGUUACUUUCAUGCUUCGAGAGGGCUCCACCAAGGGGACCCCCUUUCACCCUUACUAUUUACCACAGUGGUUGAGGUGUUCAGUGCCUCACUAUCUCAUGUGUACAGCGCGGGAUGCAUUUCGGGUUUCCAAGUGGCUAGGUUGGGUCUCUCGAUAUUCUACCACCAAUAUGGCAAUGAUACCCUCCUCUUUUGCGAUGCAUUUUUUAAAAAAUUUAGUUGUUUGUUGCUCUUCCUCCAAUGCUUCCAGUUGGCUAUGGGCCUUAGGGGGUGAACCUAGAAAAAACUAAGAUGACAAGAAUCUGCCUUGACCAAGCCAGAGUCAAAUGCUUCACUGACUCAUGGGGAUGUGCUGUAGAGCCAAUGCCGGCAUCCUAUCUUAGCCUUCCAUUUUGCAUUGGCCUUCCUCGAAUCUAGUUAUGGAGCCUGGUUAUAGACAAAGUCGAGUGGCACCUGGCUUCAUGGUAAGGGAGAGUCCUUUCACCAAGCUGCAGAGUGAUCCCUAUCAAGGCCACAAUUUCCAGCAUUUCCCUUUUCUUUAUUUCCUUUUUCUUUAUGCCAACGGUCGUAGUCGCUAGACUGAAAAAACUCAUGAGGGCUCUAAGGCUACUCAAUGCAUUGAAGGGCAAAGUGAAGGAAGUCAAGCCCCAAGCAUGAGAGCUUAUGUAUGUGGAAGUUUCUAUCAAUGGAAAACCUAUUAAGACUAUGAUAGACACCAGGGCUACACGCUACUUUGUGGCCGAUCAAGAGGCACGUCGGCUGAGCCCCAGCUACUGGAUGGUCUCUCACUAAAUUCAAAUACUUGUGAGCGUCGUUCAGCCUCCUUUCAAGGGAAGGGAGGCCUGAACUUGCCGCGCUCCCUCCCUCACUUGCCCCUGACAACGAAGCGAGAAUUGAAUCAAUUACUUGUUUCAGUUAGCCUGCUUUCAAACUAGCCGUACUCGAACCGACCCCGUAGACACUACGAAACUUGACUCCUUAUUCACCUCCUCCCCACUCACAUUCCUACUCCCGUGGUAGUUUCUUUUGUCUGGCCCGUAACCCUUCCUCUUCCGUGGCAGAAAGCGUUACUGGUCCACCUAAUGCGACAUCUUGGAACCCAAAUUUCAGGAGACUCUUAGUUGACCACAAGCUUCACCACUUUUUGAAUCUCUCGGUCUUGCUCUAUUCGAUAUUUUUUCUCCCACAAGCAAUGACAAGAUUGCCUGAUCCCCCUGUCCAUCAGGUUCAUUCAUAGUUGCUUCAUUUAACUAAAGCUUGUACUCCCUGCCUUCUCCUCCGCUCUCGGCCUUUCCCUCUAUAGCCCAUAAGGCUGUGCUCCUUUUUGCCCCCAAAAUCCAGCUUUUUAUUUGGAUAGCGCUCCAUGAAAGGGCUUUGACACUCGAUCAACUUUAGCGAAGGGGUAUCCCUUUGCCUAAAAAAUGCACCAUGUGCCUCAAAGCUGAAGAAACAAUCAACAUCUAUUUCUAAAUUGCGAGGUUGCCUUGGCCCUUUGGACCGACCUUCUUCUUCUAUUCAAGUGGUUGUGGGUCAUUCCCCAAUAGAUCCCUCACCUCUUCUCCUUAUGCCUUAGAACUCCUUGGAAAAAUUUAGAAAAUCUUCUAUGGAGAGCUUCCAUCUCAACCACUCUUUGGACCAUUUGAAUUGAGAGGAAUAAUAGGAUCUUUAGUGGGACGAAAGCCUCUACCUCAGCUCUUAUUUAAAAAAGAAGGUCACUUGUCCCAUUCUGAGCCCUAACCCUCCCAAGCUUCUCCAACUUCUCCUUUUCGGAUCUUCACCAAAAUUGGCAAGCAUUGUUGCACGCAAGUACCCACAGGAUUCCUCAAGCUUCUUUAUGGAGGACAUCGAAACCUGGGGCCAUCUGAUGGCUGCUCUCUAGGCAACCAAGGCCCCUUUGGCAUUGGACGCUUGUUUAGGAAUUCUGAAGGCCUGAUCCUCCUUUCUUAUGCUCUGCCUAUCGGAGGUGAGGAUUCCACAUUCGCUGAGGCCAAGUCUCUACUCAAAGGACUCAGAAGAUUUAAUCAUCUUUGGAGCACAAAGGUGUAGGUAGAGGGUAUUCCAGCAACACUAUCGCUUGGGCUUCUGGCAAUGCCCCCUACCCUUGGAGAUUAGAUAACAUUUUUGUCGAAAUUGGCCACAUCUGCAGCAGUAUCCAAGUCUCGUGGAGACAGACUCGUAGGAAUUGUAACGUUGUGGUAGAUGCACUAGCAAGGGAGGGAGCUAGUCUCAACUAUCUCUAGGGGAAUUUGGAGCCCCCCUUAGCUCUCACCUCAUUUUUGGAUCUAUUGUAGAGAUUCUCGGACCCUCAAGGGUUCCUGUAUAGGGCACCCAUUUUUGGGGAUUGCCUAAUUUUUUUUUGUAAUUCUCUAUACAAUCAAUACAAAAGUCAACUUCCUCAAGGAAAAAAAAGAAGGUUGGUUGACUAAUGGGAAACAUGUUCAUUUAUUGCAUUUGGGUUUUAUGCCUGGAGGAUUCAUCAGAAGGUUCAAAACUUUUUCAUUCUAGAUCUUUCUAUUUGGUUUCUGUUCACCUUGAAUUUGGUCGAAUUUGGUUAACUAUUCAUAUUUCUGCCUCUUCUUGUCAGUUUUUUAUUUCUUGUGGGUUUGUUUGGUAGGGGGGAGGGUGUUUGUGUUUGUGUGUGUGUGUGUGCAUGGAAGAGAGAGAGUGAGAGAGAGAGAGAGAGGGAGAGAGAGAGAUUCAUAGAUGAUAUGAAUUGCAUCUCAAGACAUGGAUAUUUUAGUUGACUUGGGAUUUGAUUUCUACCCAUAAUCUGAUGGCAAACUGCCAAUAGAACAUUUGUGAGUAUGAAACUUUGGGAUUAGUCAUUAUUUUGAACAGGGACAACAAAAGUAUAAAUAGCCAUUGAAUAUGGGAAGCAAGACUUUAUUUGUUGUUUGUUUGCCUUUAGCUAGUUGCAUUAUGGAUAUUUGUUGUUUGUUUUGUUAAACAAGAUGGUUUCUCAGUUAUCUCUAUUGUUAAAUCAAUGUAAUUUUUUGUAGGUGGUAGAGCUACGAUUUACCCUAGCAGCACUUGCUUAUGUUUGACACAAAGCCAUGCCGGAUGAAAAGAAUAGUAAGUUAUGCCAGCAGUGGAGGUCUAGCUGUUCAAGCAUUGCAGGCAUAUUUUCAGCUUUGCUGCAGGAGGCUUGGUUGCUUGUUGUACAGGUACUAUUUUAUAUUGUUAUUCUAUGUUGUUGAUCCCCUUAAGCUGGAGGAAUAUCUAAAUAACUAAUUAAGGCUCAGUUCGUAAAAUGGGGGAAUUCUCUGUGUAUUGUAGUCUCUGGUGGUAUUUGCCAUUAUAAGUAAUCUUGUAGUCAUUUCUCACCAUUUCCUCUUAUUCUUUCCAUCCUACUAUGUAUGUGAUUAAAGUACCUUUUCAUUAUACAGUCUCUUAAAUCUAUAUUUUUUUCAGCACUUUUGUCCCAUUAUUCCCCUCUCCUUAUCCCCAGCAGCUAGAGCAAACCAUAUCCAUAUUCCUGAUAUUACAUUGUAAUUGUGCAAGCCCCUCUCUCUCUCUCUCUCCCCCUUACACGAGGACACACACUUGCUCGUACACAUUUGCACAAACAAAAUAAAAUAUAACUGUUGCUACCCAUGAAAGAACUAUUAAGCACAUUUACAAGUAGAACAUUUGCGUCUGGAGUUUUUAGUUAAGCAUAUAUAAAACAAUGAAAAAGUAUACAAAGAGACCAUUUACUUUUUGUACAAGGAGGUCACAAACAUUCAUGUCCUUUGAUCUCAAAUUGGGUGGUUGUAGGAGUGUCAUUAAAUAAACUCAGUUUUAAAAAAAUAUUCUCGGACUGUGACUCACCCUAAGCCAUCAAAUUUGACAUCCAAUGAGUAGGAAUAAUUGUGAACGCCUUAUACAAAAAGUAAAUGGUCUUUUUGUAUACAAUGCCAAGAACAUUAUCUCCUUGCGUGAUCAAUAACGUCUGUUGAUAUCAAUCGACAAUUUGACUCGGGCAUAUGCGUCUCCUAUUUUGUCUAAAUAUGCGUCGGAAUUUUCAAUUUUUGAAAACUCGUUACUCUUAUUUUUGGGACAAUGUCUUCUUCCCAAUCUUCUAGUAACAAGGCUCCAGCUUAGAAAUAUGCUAAACUAAAAAAUCCGAAAGAUAGAAAUUGUGUGAUAUGCUUGCUCUGUGGAAAUACUUAUAUGGGUGGUAUUUUUCGACAAAAAGAGCAUUUAACCGGAAUUUUUGGGAAUGUAAGAGCAUGCCCACAAGCUACAAAUGAUAUAAAAAAGGAGAUUAGAGAAUAUUUGGAUAGAUUGAAAAAAGAUAAAGAGAAAAAAAAAAAGAAAAGAAAGGAAUUACUUGAUGAUAUGCAAUUAUCUGAUGAUGAUGAUACAUCUGAAGUUGCUAUGAGGCAAAGGGGUACUCAUACUCCAACCUCAAGAGAGAGGGUUAUAAAUAUUGGUGGUAAUGCUGAGAGAAGAACACCUCUCUCUAAGGGGCCAAUGGAUUCUUUUUUCACCCCUAGCCCCGAAAUUGCUGUUCAAGAGAGAGAAAAAACCAAAACAAACCACAAUUGACAAUAAAUAUAAGAAAGAACAAAGGAAGUCGGUAUGUAAGUGGAUUGCAAAGUGGAUUUACAUGGCCGGCAUUCCUUUUAAUACUAUAACUUGGGAUAGUUUUGCAUGUAUGGUCCAAGCAAUUGGGCAAUAUGGCCCAGGACUUAUUACUCCUUCAAUACAUGAGGUUAGGGAGCUCUUGUUGAAGGAUGUUGUAUUUGAUGUGAAUAAAAUUUUGAUUUCUCAGAGAAAUGCGUGGGAGAAAUAUGGGGCCACUAUUAUGUGUGAUAGUUGGUUCGAUGGGAAAUCAAGGGCAUUCAUUAAUUUUUUGGUUAAUUGCCCAACAGGUACUUUUUUUUUUAAGUCUAUUGAUGCAUCAGACAAGUCACAUGAUGGUAUCAUCAGACAAGUCACAUGAUGGUACAUACUUAUUUGGCUUGAUGGAUGAGAUUGUCGAUUUGUUGGGGAGCAAAAUAUGGUACAAAUUAUCACUGACAAUGGUGCCAACUAUGCUGCAGUUGGGAAUUUCUUGACUUUGAAAAGGAAGCAUACGUUUUGGACUCUUUGUGCAGCUCACUGUGUUAAUCUUAUGCUUAAGGAAAUAGGUAUAACAUCUUUAUUUAGUGGGGUGAUUUCAAGAGCUAUAUUUGUUGUUGGAUUUAUUUACAAUCACACCAUAGUCCUAAGCAUGAUGAGGUCUUUUACAAAGAAGAGAGAAUUAGUGAGACCGGGUAUGAUUAGAUUUGCCACGUCAUUUCUCACUCUUCGAAGCCUAGCCAAGCAAAUGCCUUGAGGACCAUGUUUGCUUCAGAGCAAUGGAGUCAAAGAAAAUGGUCAAAGCAUAAGGAUGGGAGAAAGGCUGAAAAAGUUAUUCUGAAUACAUCUUUUUGGAGUCAAAUAAUUAUUGCAUGGGAGGUGGCUUGCCUUUUAGUGAGAGUGCUUCGAUUGGUUGAUGGUGAUGCGAAGCCCGCCAUGGGCUACAUACAUGAGGCAAUGACUAGUGCAAGAACUGAAAUAAAAGAUAUUUUAAAGGAUCAUGAAAAUAUACGCAAGGCUAUACUUGAAAUUAUUGAUAGGAGAUGGGAUACCCAGCUUCACAGGCACCUUCAUUCAACCGGUUAUUUUAUAAACCCAUCUCUUCACUACAAGCACCCAUCCAUUGAGUCAUAUCGUGUAAUAAAUGGUGGGUUCUUAGAUGUGCUGGAGAGGUUGGUGCCAGACAAAGAUAUCCAGGAUGAGAUCUAGAGCCAUGAAUUGAUUAAGUUCAACUUAGCCUUGGGAAACUUUGGGAAAGAUAUUGCCACUCGAAAUAGGGACACUACAGAUCCAGGUAAAGGCCAAAAGGCCAAAAAUAAUCUUACUUGUCUCUUACUUUAUGUAUGGUUCCAUUGUUUAUUUUAUACCCUUAAUUUUUAACUAUAUUCUAAAUUAUAAAAUAUUAUACAGCUGCAUGGUGGGCAUUAUAUGGAAGCAAGACACCAAAUCUACAACAUCUCGCUAUUCGAGUGUUGAAUCUCACAUGUAGCUCAUCUGGUUGUGAGCCCAAUUUGAGUGCAUUUGAGCAUGUAAGUCAUUUACUCCUUAUUCCUUAAUCCUUAUUUCUUGAAUUUCAAUUUUCUAAUCUAAAAUCUAAUUUAUCUGAUUUCAAAUUUCUACCACAGCUCCAUACAAAAAAAAGAAAUAGGUUGGAGCAGAAAAAGUUGAAUGAUUUGGUUUAUGUACGGUAUAACGCGCGUCUUAGGGAGAGGUAUGAAAAUCGCACGAAGCUCAACCCUAUUCAAUUAUAUGAAGCUGAUGGUGAUUCUAUAAGUGAGUGGACCAUGGAUCCAAGACAAGAGCAUGUGUUUGAGGGUGAGGAUUGUACAUGGCUUGAUGUCGAGCUAGCAACAGAGGCUAAUGAAAAAGAUCGGCUUAACACUAGAGCACAAAGCAGUAGAGGAGUUGCUGGAUCUAGUCGCAGUCGCACAUUAGCUUCAGAGGUCGAGGAGGAAGCUGACUCAGAGGAGUCUGAUGAAGAAGGAUACAUGAAGGCCGUCGAGGAUGAUAUUGAUGAUGCACAUGACGACUCUCAAGAUGACUUGUCUGAAUGAUAUUUGAAAAAAUGAAGUUCAAAUUUCAAAAUUUACUCUCAAAAUGGAUGAUUGUAUUAAGUUAUUAUUUAUUAACUAUUGACUCUUCUUGAGCUUGACUUUUGAUUUGUAUUUUGUAAUAUCAUUAUUUUGUGCUUAUGGUUGUACUUAUGGUUGUUGAUGGUUGUGUUUAAUUAUAAUUGUACUUGUGGUGCAAAUUUGUGUUGAUGGUUGUUGAUUGUUGAAUGCUUUAUGAAGCUAGUUUCAAGUUUCUAGUUUCUAUCAGGGGAUAGUGGAUAACUGGAUACAAAAUCUCCGACAGCUAAUAGUUUUGAAGUUAAUCAUUAAACUAAAAUACCUACUAUCACAUAUAUCACCUUCAUAUUUUUUUCUAUGCAUUAACUUAUUUUUUUAGAUUUUUUAGAAUUUUUUUCCAUUUAUUGACCGCAUCAUCGCGAUGCACCCGCAUCCAGGCCGCAUCGAGCCCCAUCGCCGCAUCGGCCCCCCACCGCAUUAGGGUCGCAUCCCGCAUUUUAAAACAUUGGCAGGAACUAUGCUCUCACAGAAUAUUUAGCUGUUUCAAACCCAUCCUAAGAAAGCAGGGCACCUAGUCAUUUUCUAAAACUACAAGUGGGAACCAAGAGUUUUUCGAUAAUAUAAAGCAGCAAAUUGGAAUUCAAACUUAUUUUCACGAAGAAAGGGUAAUAAAUUACGAUGAAGAUGGAGGAUUGGGGUAAGUUUUUGUUUCCAUGCUUUCCCUAUGAAAUGAAGAUGAGCUGCAGUUAAUAUUUAGUGUUUAAAUUGAAUGGAUGCUUUGUAUGCUUCAAUAUUCUAAUAGACUAACCAUUGUUCAAAAAAACGGACCGCCUAGGGCAUCGCCAGAAGGCCUGGGCGCAUUGCCCAGGCCUAGGCGGCCAAACUGGGUGGUGGUCCCUGGGUGGCCACCUAGGUGGUACGGAACCCGCAACGGCCGCCUAGCGCUCAGCCCUGAGUGGCCGCUCAGGGCAUGCGCCCCGCCUAGAGGUGGAAAUGUUUUUUUUUGUUUUUUGUUUUGAUUUUUUUAAAAGAUAUAAAAGGUUUGAAGGAGUGGAUUUAGGUUCAUUUGAAACCUAAAUUCACAAGAACCCGUUUUAGAGAGAAAAAAACCUCCAGAAAACUACAUUUCAUUGGAUUGAAGUGUCUCAAAGUUUAGAGUUCGAGCAAUCAAAGUAAGUGCAAAAUUUUAUUUUGUAGAUUAAUUGUUUUAUUUUGAGAUGUCUUCUUCUAGAGUUAGUCGCAGUGGAGAUCCGGGUUGGAAAUAUGGAUACAAUUCGAAUCUAAACGACAAAAAUUGUUUUAGAUGCAAUUUUUGUGAAAAAGAUACAAAAUGAGGCAUAAACCGGUUUAAGGAACAUUUGGCCAGUAUUAAGGGGGUUGCUAGCCGUUGUAAAAAUGUUUUUGAAGCUAUCAGAGAGGAGAUUGAGCAAUAUAUGAGUUAUGGAAAACAAAAACAAGAACAAAAUCCUUGUCAUCGAUUUAUUUUUGCUACUUCUAGAAGAAGUGAUCCGGAUUGGAAGUAUGGGUACAACCCAAAACCAAAUGAUGAAAAUUGUAUAAGGUGUAAUUUUUGUGAAAAAGAUAUCAAUAGGGGUAUUAGCCGAUUCAAACAACACCUUGUUGGUGUUAGAGGUAAUGUUGCUUCUUGUACAAAGGUUCGUGAAGCAGUUCAGGAUGAGAUUAGACAUCUUUUGAAUUUAGAAGACCAGAAAAGGUUGAAAAUAAGCAUUGUUCCAUGGAAGUAUCUUCUCUAGGUUCUAGUCGGAGUGGUGAUCCGGGAAAGUAUGGUUAUAACCUGAAUCCAAGUGAUAAAAAUCGUAUUAAAUAUAAUUAUUGUGGAAAUGAUACUAAUGGGGGCAUUUACCUGUUUAAAAAACAUCAUGCCGGUAUUAAGGGGAUAAAAAUGUUCCUGAGGCUACCAGAGAAGAAAUUAUACAAUAUUUGAGUUCAGAUAAGUACAAAGAAAAGGGUAGAGUAGCCAAGACUGCUAAGGCCUCAUCUGCACAGGCUGCAUAUACUAGUAAGAGGAAGGUAGAAGAAGAUGAGGAGUAAAAGGCAGAUUCAGAAGAAACAGAGGAAGACGAGCGUUUAAGAGGGAGAUGACUCUGAUGAUGAUGGCCUCGACUCUAAUGCAUAUGAUUAGACUGUAUAUUUUCUAAAUUUAUGUAUAUUUCUGUUGUAUAGAGUGUUGACUUUUAUAUCCUACACUUUUAUGGUUUUACAAUUUACUGUUUUAACAAUAAGGAUUAUCAAAAUUCUCUUCUCGACCUCUAUCUUUUUUUUUUCAACUUGGAAUAUGGUAUUCGGUAAUUUGGUAUUUGUUUUCAACUGGCCACCUAGGCACUGGGCGGGCUGGAUCCCCAGGCCGCCUAGGACCCACCUAGCGUUUUUUGAUAUGCUGGCACUAACCAUGGUAUUGUUGGACCAAACCAUGUGAAGUUAUGAACAUUUGUUGCCAUGGGAUGUGUAGGGUUAUAUGCAUGCUCAUGAGUGUGGCUUGCUGCUGGACGUCAAUAAGUGUUAGAAGGCUUAUCAUCUUAAACAAGGGAGUCGAAAGUGAAAAUAGUCAAGUCUUUUGGAAGAAGAAGAAACAUAAAACUAGGAGAUGCAGGAAGCUUUUCUCAGUAAUGCAUAUUUACCUUAGGAUAUAUUCUCUUUUUAUAAUUCUUUUCUGGCAUGGAAUGAGAAAUGGAGCAUCAACAUGUGAACUUGUGCAAAUAUAGGGCUCCUGGUAUUAAGAGGAUAUGUUAUUUUCUGAGAUGGGAAAUGGAACCUUUAUUCUUCCUUGUUUUUUAUCCAAAUCAGAUGUAAUUGUCAUUCAGAAUUGGGUUGGUUUGGAAACGUAAGGGUGGUGUCUAUCAAUUUCAGAGUAGUAUUUGUUAUGUUUCUAGACUGACAGCAUAUCUGUGAACUUUUAGGGAUUGUACCUUUUAUAAUUGACACGCCUCUGCCAUUUAGUGGUUUUUUAUUUUUUUUAUUAUUUUAUUAUUUUUUGUUAAUAAAGAUACUUGACUAUAAGGAAUGUUUCUUCAUGGAGAAAAAGGACUACGAACUAUGGUUUCAUAUAGCUGUGACUUAUUCCUAGAUGCAUCUGAUUCCCAGUGAGCCAACUCAUCUACCACUAUAUUUAUCUUCUGAAAAAUGUAUUUAACAAGUUAUUGAGAACUGGUCUUGGUUCUAUUAGUUCUUUUUAGUUCUUUUAAAACUAUUGAUGGCUUUCCAAAUUUUCAAGAUCACAAUGGCAGUACCGAACUUUUUAAAACUGAUGGCUCAUCUGCACUUACUCCUAUCUUACCUCUGUUUUCUUGGUUACUUAAAAAAUGUUCUCCUUUGUUUUUUUUUUUUUAAUAGACACAUCAUUAAUUGGGAUGGGUAACUGUUGUGACCUAUAAUCCCUUUGCCAGAGCCCUACAUGCCCACAAUUUAGCGAUUUUGUUAUUGUAUAUCUGUUCCAAGAUGGUGCUAAAUAUUCAAUAAAUACAUAUUGAACAAUGAGUCUGUACUUAAACAAAUUAACCCAUGUAUUCCAUAUGAUCUAGAGAUUGCCUUCUAAGCCAACAAAUCACAUUUAGUUAAUCACUUUAGAUAAUAUCAAUUCUCAAAGUUCUAUUUAGGUUUCUCAAUCCAUACGAGACAAUGUUCUACCAAAGAGCCCUCAAUACCAAAAAUAUUGCAUGGAUCUUGUAAUUGUCUCCUUGUUUGUUUCAUGUGAUAUCCCAAAAACAUGCAACUCUAGUGCUUCUCUUUGCAAUUCCAACAAAAAUUCAGCUUGAUCAUUUCAUUAUUUUCACCGUGGUUGGUGGUAAAUUCAAUCUCUCUUGAGGCUUGGUCUCAAACCUUGAAGAUCUGCGACAGUUUUUGGGUCAAGGGUUUAACUAGUUCUUCAUGAGCUUUGGUCCUUUGAUUUUUCAUUCAUUCUUUUUUUUUUUGGGUCAAGGUUUGACUAGUUCUUCACGAAGUCUUGAUCCAGCUUGGAUUUUUUUCACCAUUUUGAUUCUUCCAAAGAUUCCAUAUUGUCACUAAGAAAGUGCAGCACAACUGUUUUUGCCCUCGCUUAUUCUAUCACAUUCAUCUCCAUCGAUGCGACUUAAUGGAAAUGCAUGUAAGAGUUGUAAUUAAAAAAAAAACUAGACUGACAAUUUUUUAUCAAAUUGUGCAGCUGUGCAUGCUAACAACAACGUGAGACUCCCACCUCUUCUUCCUCUAUGUUAUUAAAGGCUAGGAUUCCUGGGGUCAGGGUUUUGCCAUCUUUGUGAGACUUAAUCUUGACCUUUGAUCUUGGAGAUAUGUGGGGUGAAGAGAUCUCAUCAUAUCCCUCUGUUUCCAUAACUCUAUUCCCAUCAAAUAUUGUGUAGAGAAAGUAAUAAAUCAAUCACAAUUAAUUUCUUUAUAUCUUCUUAUUUUGAAAUCAAUCACAAUUAAUUUCUUACACCUCCCUAUUUUGAAAUCCAUCAAACUCUCUACACAAAAGGUUUCCUAAAAUAUCAAGUCAACAUAUUGCAUAAUUGUUGUCUUUCAAUUUAGGAAAGUUUGGAGGAGGUGGGGCGCACCACCCAUAGGGUGGCCAUGUGGGUCCUACGUCCCAUAAUAUGGUGGGCCCAAUGUACCCCAAUAGGCCCCAAAUAUUUUAAGCAUAAUUUUAAAUAAUAAAAUAAUUUUAUAAAAUCUCAAAAUAUUUAUUUCUCUCUCUAAUUAAAAUGAAUCCAUAAAAUUGAUUUUUCUUAGUUAAAAAUCAUUUCUCAAUAAAAUAAAAUACCUAGAGAGGUCUAAAAAUUUAUUUUAAUUAUCUAAAAAAUAAUUAACAUAUCUAAGAAGAUUUGAUGUGAAGGAUCCAUAGAGUUAGGAUUACGACAAAUAUACUGAGGAGUCAUCCUCUCUAGAGAUUGUAUCUCACUGCACCUUCUCAAACUAACCCAAUAGUUGUCAUGACUCACAACCUCUCACAUGGGUUCAUGAUUGGACUAUCAAAUUCGGCCAACAAAGUGAUUCUGGCUUCCAAGCGUGGCUUUCCUUGGGCCUAUUGUUUCCAAAGAUGGGAUAGCAGUUGAUCCUUGCAAGAUUGAGGUUGUGCUUAAAUGGGAGAGACCAAUGAAUGUAUCUGAAGUUUGCAGAUUCCUAGGACUGGCGGGAUAUUACAAGUGUUUCGUAGAGGGAUUCUUGAAGAUAACACUUCCCCUAACCCGCCUAACCCAAAAGGAAAUCAAGUUUGCGUGGUUUGAUAACUGCAAGAGAAGUUUUCAAGAUAUCCCGCUAGGCUUGCAGGACCUCACCUUGUUUCACAGCUGCUCAAGUGAUUUUGAAACUUUUGGUUCAUGAAAUAAUGUAACAAAUUUUACGGUGAUGAUGGAGGAUUGGGGUAAGUUCUCGUCUCCUUGCGUUCCCUGUGAAAUGAAGAUGAGCUGCAGUUAAUAUUUAGUGUUUAAACUGAAUGGAUACCUUGUAUGCUUCAAUAUUCUAAUGCACUAACCCUGGUAUUGCUGGACCAAACCAUGUGAAGUUAUGAACAUUUGUUGCCGUGGGAUGUGUAGGGUUAUAUGCAUGCUCAUGAGUGUGGCUUGCUGCUGGACAUCAAUAUGUGUUAGAAGGCUUAUCAUCUUAAACAAGGGAGUCUAAAGUGAAUAUAGUUAAGUCUUUUGGAAGAAGAUGAAACAUAAAACUAGGAGAUGCAUGAAGCUUUUCUCAGUAAUGAGUAUUUACCUUAGGAUAUAUUCUCUUUUAAUAAUUCUUUUCUGGCAUGCAAUGAGAAAUGGAGCAUCAACAUGUGAACUAGUGCAAAUAUAAGGCUCACUGUUAUUAAGAGGAUAUGUUAUUUUCUGAGAUGGGAUUCUUCCUUGUUUUUUAUCUAAAUCAAAUGCAAUCGUCAUUCAUAAUUUGGUUGGUUUGGAAACAUAAGGGUGGUUUCUAUCAAUUUCAUGGUAGUAUAUGUUAAGUUUCUAGUCUGGCAACAUAUCUGUGAACUUUUAGGAAUUGUACCUUUUAUAAUUGACAAGCCUCUGCCAUUUAGUGGUUUUUUUUUAUUUUUUUUAUUUUUUGUUAAUUAAGAUAGUUGACUAUAAGGAAUGUUUCUUCAUGGAGAAAAAAAGACUACGAACGAUUGUUUCAUAUAGCUGUGACUUAUUCCUAGAUGCAUCCGAUUCUGAGUUGGCCAACUCAUCUGCCACUGUAUUUACCUUCUAAAAAAUGUAUUUAACAAGUUAUGGAGAACUGGUCUUGGUUUUGUUAGUUCUUUUGAAACUAUUGAUGGCUUUCCAAAUUUUCUAGAUGAUAGUGGCAGUAUCGAACUUUAUAAAACUGAUGGCUCAUUUGCAGUUACUCCUAUCUACCAUUGUUUUCUUGGUUUUUAAAUACUUAAAAAAAGUUCUUGGUUUUUUUUUGUUUUAAUAGACGCAUCAUUAAAAGGGAUGGGUAACUGUGGUUACCUAUAAUCCCUUUGCCGGAGCCCUACAUGCCC